CAGUCGCCGCGGUAAUACGAAGGGGGCUAGCGUUGUUCGGAUUUACUGGGCGUAAAGGGUGCGUAGGCGGACUGAUAAGUCAGGGGUGAAAUCCCAAGGCUCAACCUUGGAACUGCCUUUGAAACUGUUAGUCUUGAGUUCGAGAGAGGUGAGUGGAACUGCGAGUGUAGAGGUGAAAUUCGUAGAUAUUCGCAAGAACACCAGUGGCGAAGGCGGCUCACUGGCUCGAAACUGACGCUGAGGCACGAAAGCGUGGGGAGCAAACAGGAUUAGAUACCCCCGUAGUCCCUGUCUCUUAUAC
rnacentral:rRNA from 1 species